CACGUAGGGCGCAAGCGUUGUCCGGAAUUAUUGGGCGUAAAGAGCUCGUAGGCGGUCUGUCGCGUCUGCUGUGAAAACCCGGGGCUCAACCCCGGGCUUGCAGUGGAUACGGGCAGACUAGAGUUCGGUAGGGGAGACUGGAAUUCCUGGUGUAGCGGUGAAAUGCGCAGAUAUCAGGAGGAACACCGGUGGCGAAGGCGGGUCUCUGGGCCGAUACUGACGCUGAGGUGCGAAAGCGUGGGGAGCAAACAGG
rnacentral:rRNA from 1 species